UGACCUCGGAUCAGGUAGGAAUACCCGCUGAACUUAAGCAUAUCAAUAAGCCGGNGGAA
rnacentral:rRNA from 1 species